AAGUAUGGUAUUCUGUAAUUUUGUCAAUGAAUACGUGGAGAAGCGUCACGAUGCGAUGGAUAAAGCAAGAGAAGUAUACUUCGAAGAACUACAAUUUGGUUUUUAAUUUUGUUGAGUAUCUUUGUUAUUUGUGUUCGUCGCGUAUUGAUCGUAUGUAAUUUGUCUGUUAAAUCACUCGUUGCUCUCUCAAAAAAAAAAGAUCGAGUUGGUUUUUUUUCCGACGUAUGGGCUUGUGAUGAUGCUCGAGGGGGGUGACGAGUUGUUAGUAUGUUUUGUCUUUCCUUUUGUUUUUGUUAUGGGUGUUGUUGUCAUAGAACAACACUACUAUUAUGGAAUGUCCAUGCUUAAUGGGUUGAGUGUUAGUUGAUCGCGUAUGCCGGCCCUAUUAGAGAAGGUCGACAUAGCCUCAACAAGUUGACGAGUGGAGGUGUCGCGUCGACUACUCUACAUCUCUCGGCUCCCAACGUCAGACUGGCCGUGUUUUUUCAAACAAGACUAGAACACCUUCAAUCCUAUUCCUCUCCUUUUGAUUACCUUCAGAGGUUGUG
rnacentral:lncRNA from 1 species